rnacentral:rRNA from 1 species
GAUGAACGCUGGCGGCGUGCCUAACACAUGCAAGUCGAGCGAACAGACGAGGAGGUUUCCUCCCUGAUGAUAGCGGCGGACGGGUGAGUAAAACGUGGAUAAACUCCUUAUUAACCUGCGAUAACUUCGGGGAAACGGAUUGAAAACCGGCUAAUAUACUCUAUCACACUGUUCCAUAGUAUAAGACGGUGUUCCAGUUCUUUACAGAUGGAUACGCGCCUCCUUAGCUAGUUGGUAAGGUAAAGGCUUACUAAGGCAACGACGCGUAGCCGACCUGAGAGGGUGAUCGGCCACACUGGAACGGAGACACGGUCCAGACUCCUACGGGAGGCAGCAGUAGGGAAUCUUCCGCAAUGGGCGAAAGCCUGACGGAGCAACGCCGCGUGAGUGAUGAAGGUCUUCGGAUCGUAAAACUCUGUUAUUAGGGAAGAACAAAUGUGUAAGUAACUAUGCACGUCUUGACGGUACCUAAUCAGAAAGCCACGGCUAACUACGUG